UGGGGAAUUUUGGACAAUGGGCGAAAGCCUGAUCCAGCAAUGCCGCGUGUGUGAAGAAGGCCUUCGGGUUGUAAAGCACUUUUGUCCGGAAAGAAAUCCUUGGCUCUAAUACAGUCGGGGGAUGACGGUACCGGAAGAAUAAGCACCGGCUAACUACGUGCCAGCAGCCGCGGUAAUACGUAGGGUGCAAGCGUUAAUCGGAAUUACUGGGCGUAAAGCGUGCGCAGGCGGUUUGCUAAGACCGAUGUGAAAUCCCCGGGCUCAACCUGGGGAACUGCAUUGGUGACUGGGCAGGCUAGAGUAUGGCAGAGGGGGGUAGAAUUCCACGUGUAGCAGUGAAAUGCGUAGAGAUGUGGAGGAAUACCGAUGGCGAAGGCAGCCCCCUGGGCCAAUACUGACGCUCAUGCACGAAAGCGUGGGGAGCAAACAGGAUUAGAUACCCUGGUAGUCCAGCGCCCUAAACGAUGUCAACUAGUUGUUGGGAUUCAUUUCCUAGUAACGUAGCUAACGCGUGAAGUUGACCGCCUGGGGAGUACGGUCGCAAGAUU
rnacentral:rRNA from 1 species